GAAUUUGGAGGAGAUCCCUCAAAGAAACUAGUUACUUGCAACUAGUUACUUCCAAGCUCCGAUUCCAACUUCUUAAGAGCCGUGCUGCGCAGAGGGAGGGAAAAAAGGGAAGUAAAACCUAGAAUGCAGAGCUGAUUAGGUGGUGCAUGGGCCUGAAGUAGCUGCAAAGAGUGCAAGAAUCAGCUGUCAACACACAGCACGCUUUCAGCUCACCAGAAUGAGCCGUGGCAGCUUUCCUACAUUGAACGCAAUUCAUUUUGCAUGCCAAUGCUGAAAAUGAUCAGAAUUUCAAGACUCAGAAAG